AAAAAACCCAAAUCAACCAUCGGC
rnacentral:piRNA from 1 species